GACGAACGCUGGCGGCAUGCCUAAUACAUGCAAGUCGAGCGAACAGAUGAAGUGCUUGCACUUCUGACGUUAGCGGCGAACGGGUGAGUAACACGUAAGGAAUCUACCUAUAAGCGGGGGAUAACAUUCGGAAACGGGUGCUAAUACCGCAUAAUAUCUUCUUCCGCAUGGAAGAAGAUUGAAAGACGGCUCUGCUGUCACUUAUAGAUGACCUUGCGGUGCAUUAGUUAGUUGGUGGGGUAAUGGCCUACCAAGACGAUGAUGCAUAGCCGACCUGAGAGGGUGAUCGGCCACAUUGGGACUGAGACACGGCCCAAACUCCUACGGGAGGCAGCAGUAGGGAAUCUUCCGCAAUGGGCGAAAGCCUGACGGAGCAAUGCCGCGUGAGUGAAGAAGGCCUUCGGGUCGUAAAACUCUGUUAUAAGAGAAGAACAAAUUGUAGAGUAACUGCUACAGUCUUGACGGUAUCUUAUCAGAAAGCCACGGCUAACUACGUGCCAGCCGCCGCCGUAA
rnacentral:rRNA from 1 species